UCGUAAAUGCACAGGCAGUUUCGAUACAGAACUUGAGGCGCCCCUAGCAGUGGUUACGUGUAGAACCGGUAAGCAGUGAUUAUUUGGAAGUUUUUUAAAACAAGGAACUGCCAAGUCGAUGUUUGACAGCAUUCUAAAGUUUCUGGGCAAGAGAUUGUUGACGGACGUGUAAGAAGGCAGAAGUUAACGAAGCUUCUUUUCGUGUCUGAUGAGCUCCUCCGUCGCACCGCUGGUGGUAAGAUGGCUGUGCAGUUGGAUGGAGGAGGGAAGGAGGACUUGAAAACACAGUUUGUCACGCGGGAAGGAACUUACAAACUGAUGACUUUGUCCGAGUAUUCAAGGCCAAAUAGGGUCGGGUACACGAACAGUCAAGGAAGCGCAUCCGUUAGGGUGUCCUUCGUAACUUUGCCAGACCCAGCGGAUCCUACGGGUACGCAAGGUCUCGGUGACCGAAUGUGUUUCAAUUUUGGCAAGGAACUCUAUGUUUACGUGUAUCGAGGAGUUAAGAAGGCUGUGGACUUAAAUAAACCAGUGGACAAGAAAUUAUAUAAAGGAACUAAUCCAACUUGCCAUAAUUUUAAUCAAACAACAGCAACUGCAGACAGUGCACCAUUAUUAGUGGGCUUUUCUACAGGGCAAAUUCAAUUAAUAGAUCCUAUAAAAAAGGAACUUAGCAAAUUAUAUAAUGAAGAUAGGUUGAUAGAUAAAAGUAAAGUGACAUGUAUAAAGUGGGUUCCUGGAUCAAACAACCUCUUUUUGGUAUCGCACAGCUCUGGACAACUGUAUUUAUACAAUGAAGAACUUCUUUGUGGUACAACAGCUCCUCAUUAUCAAUCUUUUAAAUCAGGAGAUGGCUAUGCCAUAUAUACUUGUAAAACAAAAUCUACAAGAAACCCUUUAUAUAGAUGGGUAAUAGGUGCAGAAGGAUGUUGUAUAAAUGAAUUUGCCUUUAGCCCAUGUGGCUCCAACUUAGCAGUUGUCUCCCAAGAUGGUUUCCUAAGAGUAUUUCAAUACAACACAAUGGAGCUAGUGGGUUCAGCUAGAAGUUACUUUGGUGGAUUUCUGUGUGUAUGUUGGUCACCAGAUGGAAGAUACGUUGUUGUGGGGGGUGAAGAUGAUCUUGUGACAAUUUGGAGCUUUCACGAAAAAAGAGUGGUAGCAAGGGGUCAGGGUCAUCAUAGUUGGGUAAGCGUUGUAGCGUUUGAUCCUUAUACAACGUCCUAUGGAGAUCAUGAUCCUGACUUCAGUGGUUCAGAUGAUGAAACAUUACCACAUAAUAAUCAUAAUCACUUCCACGAGAAGUCUAAUCGUCUGUCGACGACUUCGCAAGGAGUUCAUUCAAAUAGAAACUCUUGUAGUUCAGAGUUGAGGGUAUCGGGUGGUACAUGCUACAGGCUAGGCAGUGUAUCACAAGAUACUCAAUUGUGUUUGUGGGAUAUCACGGAGGAUGUGUUGAGACAACCAAUGUGUGCAAAGCAGAGGCCGUCCGCGGCAGGUUCUAGUACUCUUUCUACAUCAGGAACGGUCAACAGUGGAAAUGGCUCAACGACGAAUCAUCACUUGAACAAUUCUAAACAUAAUAAUUUGAAUAAUGUUAAUUACAAAGAAAACGCGAGUGGUAAUAAUGAAAGUAGUAAUAAUAGCACGAGUACAAAUACAGCAGUAUCAACUGUAAAUUCAUUGACACAAAGGUUAGCAGGCCUCGGUUUCGGUGAGCGUAAAGGUGAUAACCAUAAACGAAACUUUAGCCUCACUAUGAGAGGUGCAUCCAAUAGCACAAUAAUGCAGAAUAGUGGAGGCGAAAAGACUUCUACUACUAAUUCAAAUACAAGUAGUAAUAUGAACAGUGUCAGUGGAAGUUUAGUAGGUGCAAAUAAAAAGGUUAGUUCCGUGAUGGACGAUCCUAUGAGAUUGAUAGGAACUGCCUGGUGCCCUAGGUUCGAUGAGUGUCCUGUGCUAGAACCAUUGGUGUGCAAGAAGUUGGCGCAUGAAAGAUUGACUGAAUUAGUGUUUAGGGAAGAUUGCUUCGUAACAGCGUGUCAAGAUGGAUACGUCUAUACGUGGGCAAGGCCUGGUCACAUGUGACAGUCUUAUAAUUUUAUCGGAAGAUGCUUGUGCUUGUUUCUUAAGCCGGUGGGGCAUUAAUUUUUUACUUUGAUUGGAAAGAUUAAUGUCUUGUACCAUGCUUUGGCUGAUGCGAGAGAAUCAUGGAUGAGACAUCCCAGAGUGUAUCGCAUGCCAGGAAUAGGACAAGUUGGAAAUGCUCUACAUGUUGUCAGUCCAGCAGAAAGUGGAGGUACCAUAGUAUAGCCAGAAGCAGAUAAUCUAUCUUCAAAGCACGAAGAAGAAUACGUCCCGUUAAUGCGUACAUUUCAAUCUCCGGAAAUGCGGUUUCAAUCAUAUACUCAUUAUCGUCACUUGUAUUAUGUAUGGCCAAGUGAAAAUUAUUCCAAUAUCAUUUGAGAAAAGAUAAACAAAGAAUUGUCCCAAAGGCAUCUAACUGCUUAUUGCUUAAAGGCACUUUUUUUUGGUAAGUUAAUUUCGAUGGGUAUCAAUUGCUAUUGCUUUCUAUUCUAUUUUUAUUUAAGUCAGAAAAGCGUUUAAAUUUCAUAGUAUUAUAUAAAUUUUGUAAAAAACCAGCGAAAGUAACAAUUGUGUGUACAUGUAUAUAUGUAUACAUACGUAUGGCUGAUCUUACAUACUGUACUAAAUCAUUCCAAUAAGAUCUUGUUAAGUAAAACAAAUUAAGAAUUGAAUGAUGUUAAUACUAAAUACUUAUACAUAUAUAUAUAGUGAAAAACUUUCGUAUCAUUAAUAUUUGUUUAGAGAAAUGAUUUUAAAUGAUUUGCUUUUUGUGACAUAUAUUAACAAGCAAUGCAACUAUUGUAAUCAGUCAGAGCAAUAUGUAAAUAUGAAAUAUUUUACGCAGCAUUAUCAUUUGCAUACUCGUUACCGAGGGCUAAUUGUUUUUAUCUUGAAACAUGUUGCGCACGAAAAAAAAAAACAAAUCGAAUUAGAUAAUUUUGUAGAAUAGAAAUUAAUUGUAACAAAAUAUUAUUUUUUUACGUUGUUAACUUUAAGAAAUAUAUUGAAAGCGUACAUGUGUUGCAACGUUCCUUCUUUGUGUAUCAGUUUCUGUUAAGGUAAUUCAAGUAUAUAGUCUGAUCGUCGCUAACUAAAUUGCCUUAAUAAGAUGUGUAAGUUAAACCAAGACAGAUUUUUGUUUCAUAUUAUAGUUACACGAAUAUGGUUCCGAGAAACUUGUUCGCUUUAUUGAGAAUCUAUAACGAGUACAUCAUUGAUGUACGAUCAGUUGAGAACUUUUAAUAAUGAAAGAUGACUUUAUAUCUGAGAACUACCAGAAAUUGUUACAUAUUUUAAUUAAAACUUUACACAAAAGGAGAAAACUUAUAAGACACGAUUGUUUUUUACAACCGUUUCAUUUUAAUUCUAUUGUAUAUGGAACAAUUAAAUUGUAUCUGUAACAAAUUCAGUGUAUUAUUACGACAUAACAAUGAAUGAUUUCUACAACGAAUGAGAUGUAUUUUUAUACACAGUUCUCAGAUACAAAAGUCUAAUACAAUGGGUAUAUGAAUAACUAUUGAAUAUUCUAACGAUAGACAGUAUUUAAUAUUGUAUAUUCCACACGGCGAUGCUAUUUAUUACUUUAUAAAAAUAAAUAAAUGAAUAAUUAUAUAUAUAUACAUGCGUUAAAAUAUUAACGUAAAAAUGUAAAAACGGUUCGUAUUGUUGUAAUUUUUGAACAGUUUGAAAAUAAUGAUACAUUUUUUUUAUUCUUCAUUAUGGGCAUUCUUUUCUUUUCUUUUUAUCAAAAUAGAAUCAUGAGAUGGUAAUAAAGUGAAUUUAUUUAUUGCAAUGAAACAUGGUAAUUAGUGAAUUGUAAACCAGUGUUUCUUGGACAAUAAUACAUUUGUAUUUAUAUUUGUCAUAGCAUAAAUAUACUUUACAGUUAUUGAACGCAUAAUAGGCUUAAUUUAUAUUUUAAUCAUCGAGAAUCACUGGUCAUAACGAUAAUAUAAUUUUUUCGUAGAAAUAUUUAAAUACGCAACAAAAAAUAUUUUUGCGUACAUUUGUAUUUUAUGUUUAUAAAUAUCUUAUAAGAUAUAUAUAUAUAUAUACAUGUUGUAUAUGUAUUAUCAAGUUCAGUUUUGAUAUAUCACAAAAUUAAUAGACAAAACGAAGCAAUUUUGUUAAAAGUACGUUUUUAUACGGUGUUUAGGAAGAAAUCAUAGUAGCUCUAACUUUAUGUUCAGUUAGAAAAUUGAAAAAUGUUACUUAGAAAAAGUAACAAUAAAUGAACUGAUCACGCAUUUUAAUCGUGGAGCUUUCGUUUUGAACAUUAUUUUACAUAUGGCAUAAUCUAGUUUUUGAUAAACCAGUAAAAGUGUAACAUUACUCUUUUCCGUGUAAACUCCUUGAAGUAUACUGUGAUAUGUGUGUAUGCUAACAUUAACUAAUUAACUAAUUGUAAGUGAUGAAAGUGAGAAUUAUGCUAACGCCGUCAUGUUUAUCGUGUGCUGAGACGAGUGGUUAACUUUCGAGCUGUAUUUGUUGAUUGGGCGUUUCCCAUAUCGAAACUUGAAUUAUUAAACCGAUAGUAACUUAAAAAGCUGGCCUGUUAGAUAUCAAAUCAUAUUUAAUUUAUCAAACUUGAGAUUUAUCAUGUUCCUACAUUGUAAGUCAAAUCUACGAAUCUAUAAUAAACGAUGCGUUUUGUUUCAUGAUUGAAUGCGACUGAGCCUUUAUAAGUUGUAAAAUCAUAAUUAAUUUGUUAUUUCAAUUGAAACGUACUUCGUAAAUUCAGCAGGUGCAUAUUAAAACGUUUUUCUUUUCUAUUUUGAUCGAAAACCUUAAUCCAUCGAAACAUUAAACGUUUAUUAUUAUCUUUUUCGUUCUGUAAAGCGAACAAGAUUCCCUUAAGUCAAAAUUUAAAGCAAUAAUUCCAUUCGUAUUAACACGUUAUAUUCUUUUAUAGUUAUAUAUUUAUAAUCGCGAUUCAUGUAACGCUAUGAAUAAAUACAACGAUAUGAAGGGA